UUCCUCUUUCUCUCUAUAAUUUUCUCUUUUACUCCUUCAGCCAGUGUUUGCCAGAAAUUUCAACCAAUCAAAAUUUAUUUCACACACAAACGCAACCAAAGGACUGAAAAAACUCAACUGCGCGAUGAAUUAGUCCUCGUUAAAACCAGCAUCAAUGCCAACAACAACUGCUAUAUAAUUGAAUCCUUGCGUCGGCCCACAGUGGGUGGGAUAUUGACUGACGGUGCGACAAGUGUGCACUUCAGUUGUAACCUCCAUCAGCGAGCCAUAUGUGAUCGAAUAAAUGUGUAUAUUUGUAUGUAUGUAAAUAUGCUUAUGCGUGUCAACGUUCAAUGUCGAAGGUGCAACGCAGAAGCAAUGACGGAGGAAAGCAACUAAAAUCAGCCGGCUCUUCAGCUUACACUUUCAUCCCCCCUCAACGCAGUCAUUCCAAGUGACUGCCAACACCUCGGGGUGUCGCACUAAAAUGCACAGUUGUUCGGUAGGCAUCACCACAAGGACGAAUUGCUGACAAGUAGGCAAGUUGUGAUGGGCGCACAUUUAUUAAGUUGAGCGGACAAUUGAAUGCUGAAUAGAAUUUUCAAUGUUUGUAAUUUGAGAAAGUAGGUAGAAACAAAUAUACCUACAUAUGCACUGUUA